UACAGAGGUCUCAACCGUUGUUCGGAUUCAUUGGGCGUAAAGGGUGCGUAGGCGGUCGUGCAAGUCGGAUGUGAAAUCUCAGGGCUCAACCCUGAAACUGCAUUCGAUACUGCGUGGCUAGAGUGCUGGAGAGGAGACUGGAAUUUACGGUGUAGCAGUGAAAUGCGUAGAUAUCGUAAGGAAGACCAGUGGCGAAGGCGAGUCUCUGGACAGUUCCUGACACUGAGGCACGAAGGCCAGGGGAGCAAACGGG
rnacentral:rRNA from 1 species